rnacentral:tRNA from 1 species
GGGUGUAUAGCUCAGUUGGUAGAGCAUCGGACUUUUAAUCCGCUGGUCUUGAGUUCAAAUCUCAAUACACUCA